rnacentral:tRNA from 1 species
GUCAGGAUGGCCGAGCGGUCUAAGGUGCUGCGUUCAGGUCUCAGUCUCACCUGGAGGUGUGGGUUCGAAUCCCACUUCUGACA